rnacentral:rRNA from 1 species
UACGUACCGUCCGAACGUUAUUCGGUAUUACUGGGCUUAAAGCGUUCGUAGGCGGCUUGGAAGGUGAGAUGUGAAAGCCCACGGCUCAACCGUGGAACAGCGUCUCAAACCAUCAGGCUUGAGGAAGACAGGGGUGAAGGGAACUUAUGGUGGAGCGGUGAAAUGCGUUGAUAUCAUAGGGAACACCGGUGGCGAAGGCGCUUCACUGGGUCUUUUCUGACGCUGAGGAACGAAAGCUAGGGUAGCGAACGGG